GACGAACGCUGGCGGCGUGCUUAACACAUGCAAGUCGAACGGAAAGGCCCUGCUUUUGUGGGGUGCCCGAGUGGCGAACGGGUGGGUAACACGUGAGUAACCUGCCCUUGACUUUGGGAUAACUUCAGGAAACUGGGGCUAAUACCGGAUAGGAGCUCCUGCUGCAUGGUGGGGGUUGGAAAGUUUCGGCGGUUGGGGAUGGACUCGCGGCUUAUCAGCUUGUUGGUGGGGUAGUGGCUUACCAAGGCUUUGACGGGUAGCCGGCCUGAGAGGGUGACCGGCCACAUUGGGACUGCGAUACGGCCCAGAGUCCUACGGGAGGCAGCAGUGGGGAAUAUUGCACAAUGGGCGGAAGCCUGAUGCAGCAACGCCGCGUGCGGGAAGACGGCCUUCGGGUUGUAAACCGCUUUCGCCUGUGACGAAGCGUGAGUGACGGUAAUGGGUAAAGAAGCACCGGCUAACUACGUG
rnacentral:rRNA from 1 species